GACCGACAGCGACCCCACGACGUGUGCCGGUGAGAAUUUUCCGGGACACCCAGAUCUUAUGAGCGUCACGCUGAGACUAAGAACGAGUUGGGCGGUGAAAAUGAAGGAACAUCCUCGUACCGAACCGCAACAGGACUCCUAGGUGAGAAGCCUAAGGCAUAAUUGUAAUGUGAGCAAGGGAAAUCGGCAAAAUGGAUGAAAAACCUCGGGAUAAUCAUUGGCUCUAGCAUGCUAGAACUGGGCUUACAAGGGGAAUCUGACUGUUUAAUAAAAACAUAGCUUUGUGUGUACGCAAAGUGAAUUCUGCCCAGUGCUUGGGACGUUAAGGAAGUAAUUUUAAGUACGCACCUGUAAACGGCGGGAGUAACUAUGACUCUCUUAAGGUAGCCAAAUGCCUCGUCGCCUAAUUAGCGACGCGCAUGAAUGGAGCAACGAGAUUCCCACUGUCCCUGCUCACAGAUUUGCGAACCUACAGCCAAGGGAACGGGCUUGGGACAUGCAGCGGGGAAAGAAGACCCUGUUGAGCUUGACUCUAGCCAAGCACAGGCCUCUGUGACUAUAUCGUAGCGAGGUGGGAGAAAUGUGUGAGACCACUGACAUAGUCGGCGGGGGCACUCGCAAAGCUUGGUGGGGAGUUUGGCUGGGGCGGCACGACUACUAAAACAUAACGUAGACGUCCAAAGGUAAGCUCCGAGGGGAUGGAAACCACUCCGAGAGUAUAAGGGCAAAAGCUUGCUUUAGUUAUUAAUGUAAAUUAAUAAUACUGGAAACAGGGGCCUAGAGAUCCUCUAUGAAACUAAGCAUAGAGGUGACGGAAAAGUUACCACAGGGAUAACUGGCUUGUGGCGGCCGAGCGUCCAUAGCGACGCCGCUUUUUGAUUCUUCGAUGUCGGCUCUUCCGAGCAUGGUGGAGUAUCAGCCACCAAGUGUGUGAUUGUUCACCAACUAACAGGGAACGUGAGCUGGGUUUAGACCGUCGCGAGACAGGUUAGUUUUACCCUACUGCAUCGCGUCCGAGAGUAGGUCGGGGCAGUACGAGAGGAAGUGCCGAUCAGAACCGCUGGUGAUACUUUCGUCUGUUAAGGCGCGAAGUGUAGCUACGUUCUUCUUAUAAUAGCUGAAAGCCUCUAAGCUAAAAUGAGUACUUAGGGACGCAAAGAUAUGAAGACUACAUAUGUAAGGAUGAGGGUUGUACGAUAUAAAGCUUCUGCAAGUAUUUCAAACACUUAUUUCCUUUUUUAAACAUGCUUGCUCGAAAAAUACAGGAAUUCCGGGGAAAGAAAAAUUUUUUUUUUUCUGCCGGGUCGGGUUUCUCCCGGCGGUGCCCCACU
rnacentral:ncRNA from 1 species